GGGUGCUCUGCGUUCAGGGUCAGGAAUCGGCGCGGACUGUGCUUGGUGCAGGGAGGGGCUGCUUUCGGCCCCAGCUGGCUGUGAAGGAAAAAAUAUAGACAGAGGCGAAGCAAAGGAAAUACAAGUUACAGAACUGAAAUUACAUUUGCAAAGCUUAACUGUCCAGUAAGAUCCAACAGUGUGCCUUUGUGACCCUGGAGUCGGUGUGGCUUGGUGACACCAAAGAAGCCACAGGCAGCCGACCUGGACUGGAAUCUCUGAAAGAGACGCCGCAGGAGAUUCCAGGGUGUAAAAGAACAGCCCUCCCAAGAGCAGAAGCAUGUUGGAAAUUCUGGACAAGCUGUAUACAGGAUAAUCUCCCUUCCACCUCUCCCCCUCCUCUGAACAUUAUACACAGAAGUGGCCAGUCUGGACAUAAUCAGAGAAAACUGAUGCCAGCUAAACAGCAUUCAACGUACCAUGCAUUUACUGGCACAAUAGAAAUUAUGUUUUGUGUUCUAUGUUCUGUCUUGUGGUGUUUGUCUUGUGGCCGGAAUUUUUGUGUUUAAUAUUUUUAUAAAAUAAUCUAGUUUAAAAUCAAACAAAAAGGUUAAAUUAAAAUGCAGAUACUUGUUUUGUUCAACUUGGAAUACAAAGUGUUUAGAUAAAUCAGGAGAAUGUGAUAUACUAAAGUCUAAUGCAUUUCCUUAAGUAAGGAAAAGAAACUUUAUUGGUCAAAUUGUUAAUUGCAAAAAUUGUUGUUAAAAUUUGCAUACCAACAGUCUUUGAAAGCAAGGACAUGAAAAGUUAACCCACUCCCCAUAUUGUACAUGGGAUCUUUCUGGCUACCUCAGAUUUCUAGCCAGAGGGCUGGGGAUGGUGGAAGGCUAUUGGACUAGAGGUUGUAUUGAGUGAACUCCUCAAAGUGGGUGUGCUUGUCCUGGCUUGUUGCUCGAAAGCUCUGUAAUAAGGUUAUUUUAGUAAAAGGGUGUGUGUGGCAUAUAUUAAAUAAUAAGACUAAUGUACUGUAUAAUGACAAUGUGUAGGUGUUCAUUGUUGGGAAAAAGGUGUAUAAGUAAAAAGUGAAAGUUUCCUUUGCAGGUUAAAAGAAGCCAAGAA